rnacentral:rRNA from 1 species
CCAGGUCUUGACAUCCUCUGACAACUNUAGAGAUAGAGCGUUCCCCUUCGGGGGACAGAGUNACAGGUGGUGCAUGGUUGUCGUCAGCUCGUNUCGUGAGAUGUUNGGUUAAGUCCCGCAACGAGCGCAACCCUUGAUNUUAGUUGCCAGCAUUUAGUUGGGCACUNUAAGGUGACUGCCGGUGACAAACCCGGAGGAAGGUGGGGAUGACGUCAAAUCAUCAUGCCCCUUAUGCCCUGGGCUACACACGUGNUACAAUGGAUGGUACAAAGGGCUGCAAGACCGCGAGGUCAAGCCAAUCCCAUAAAACCAUUCUCAGUUCGGAUUGUAGUCUGCAANUCGCNUAGCAUGAAGNNUGGAAUUCG